rnacentral:rRNA from 1 species
GACGAACGCUGGCGGCGUGCUUAACACAUGCAAGUCGAACGGAAAGGCCCUUCUUUUUUGGUGUGCUCGAGUGGCGAACGGGUGAGUAACACUUGAGUAACCUGCCCUUGACUUUGGGAUAACUUCAGGAAACUGGGGCUAAUACCGGAUAGGAGCUCCUGCUGCAUGGUUGGGGUGGGAAAGUUUGGGCGGUUGGGGGUGGACUCGGGGCGUAUCAGCUUGUUGGUGUGGUCGUGGAUUACCAAGGCUUUGACGGGUAGCCGGCCCGAGAGGGUGACUGGCCACAUUGGGACAGAGCUACGGGCCAGAGUACUACGGGAGGCAGCAGUGGGGAAGAGUGCCCGAUGGGCGGAAGCCUGAUGCAGCAACGCCGCCUGAGGGAUGAUGGACUUCGGGUUGGAGACCGCUUACGCCUGUGACGAAGCGUGAGUGAAGGUAAUGGGUAAAGAAGCACCGGCUAACUACGUG